rnacentral:misc_RNA from 1 species
GACCCAGGUUUGUAUAAGCAUUCUGAGCAUGACAAAAGAUUGCAUCUAAUGCAGCAUAAUUAAAAGCACAAAGAAGGAAACUAAAAACUUAAAAGAGCCUGGUUAUCUUGGUCGUAAGAAUCAAGAGGUAGGCUUGUCAAAUCAACAGAUCAUCACAUUUAGAUUUUAGACAUUUUUGGAUCUGUAAUUUGUCUAGGCCUGGGAAAUCAACAGAUCAUCAAAUUUGGAUUUAUCUAUAGUUCAUUUAAAACCAACUUAACAUCCACAAUUCUAUAUUGGCUUACAAUUGGGAUGCACCUCAUAUUACUCACUAUAACUUUGACUUAUAGAAUUCAAUAGGUAGUAGCUAACAAUUUUAGUGAAAUAAUUUAUGUACCCACUUAAAUAAAAUACAUAAGAAUAAAAGAAAGCCCAUACAAGAGAUCUCGAAACCAUUUUUAACAGAGACAAUCAAUGUAACAGAUGUUAUAUCCAUCUUUCUCUUGAAAACUGCUACAUAAUUACAUAAAAUCAUAGCUAUUAAAGGCGUGCCUGAG